rnacentral:rRNA from 1 species
UACGAAGGGGGCUAGCGUUGUUCGGAAUUACUGGGCGUAAAGCGCGUGUAGGCGGGUCCUUAAGUCAGGGGUGAAAUGCCAAGGCUCAACCUUGGAACUGCCUUUGAUACUGGGGAUCUUGAGUCCGGGAGAGGUGAGUGGAACUGCGAGUGUAGAGGUGAAAUUCGUAGAUAUUCGCAAGAACACCAGUGGCGAAGGCGGCUUACUGGUCCGGAACUGACGCUGAGGUGCGAAAGCGUGGGGAGCAAACAGG